rnacentral:rRNA from 1 species
GACGAACGCUGGCGGCGUGCUUAACACAUGCAAGUCGUACGGUAAGGCCCUUUCGGGGGUACACGAGUGGCGAACGGGUGAGUAACACGUGAGUAACCUGCCCACAACUUUGGGAUAACGCUAGGAAACUGGUGCUAAUACUGGAUAUGUGCUCCUGCUGCAUGGUGGGGGUUGGAAAGCUCCGGCGGUUGUGGAUGGACUCGCGGCCUAUCAGCUUGUUGGUGGGGUAGUGGCCUACCAAGGCGGCGACGGGUAGCCGGCCUGAGAGGGUGACCGGCCAAAUUGGGUCUGUGGAGAAGGCGAGGCUCGUAAGGGAGGCAGCAGGGGAGAAUGUUGCACAAUGGGCGCAAACCGAAAGCAGCGACGCCGCGAGCGAGAUGACGGACUUCGGGUUGUAAGCCGCGUUCAGCAGGGAGGUAGAGUUUUGUGACGGUACCUGCAGAAGAAGCACCGGCUAACUGCGUG